rnacentral:rRNA from 1 species
CCUUGAAAUACCACCCUUUAAUGUUUGAUGUUCUAACGUUGGCCCCUGACCGGGGUUGCGGACAGUGUCUGGUGGGUAGUUUGACUGGGGCGGUCUCCUCCCAAAGCGUAACGGAGGAGCACGAAGGCUAGGGGUCUCCUCCUACUGGCAGACCCUGAUCACUGGGGCGAUCAUCG